AUGUUCAUGCACCUGUCAGUCACUGUUGUCAGUCACUGCUGUCAGUCACUGUUGUCAGUCACUGCUGUCAGUCACUGCUGUCAGUCACCCAGCCUGUGUGUCCUUCUCACGUCUCAGUCUGUGGUGAAUAAGCUGGUGGGCGUCGUGCUGUCUGUGACCAAAGACAUCCCUCUGUGGACUUACUCUCACCUGCAGUACAAACAGCAGCAGGUGGAGCAGGUGGCAGGUUGUAGUGGAGGAGAGGACGUGGCAGUGAAGCCAGUGGUGCUGCGAGCGCUGGACAGACAGCUGGCUGAACACAAAGACAUCAGCAGGUUGGUGAUGCAGCUCAGCUCCAUUGUGUCACACCUGAAGGCUCAGGCUGCCGAAACCCUGAAUGACCUCGGCCACUUCUCCACCCUGUGGAACCAGGUGUGUGUGUGUGUGUGUGUGUGUGUGUGUGUGUGUGUGUGUGUGUUGUUGGGCUGCACUAACAACUGGCUGUGUUUAGGACCCAGAGGAGCAGGUGCAGGCCUUCCUGCAGUCCGACCCCUCCCUGACAGAGUUCAGCGCUCAGAUCUGCUUCUACUCUGUGAGUCUACUUCCUGUUACAGACACACCACUGAACAUCGCCGUGCUUUUACAGCUUAUUAUAUUUUUAUCUGAGUUAUUAGUAAAAAAACACUUUGGUAAGGCAUCUGUUGGGGUCAUUAAAGGGCAGGUGGAGGAAAAAAACACAAAUGUCCUUUAUCGUGUAAUUCAUUGUUUUCUCAAUAAACACUGGACAGUCCUGCAGCUGCAGUUCAGUGCUGGUGCAGCAGGGGGCGCUGGUUAUUUUAUUUUUCCACAGAGCCAUCGUUGAUAACGUGUCAGAGCUGAAAGAAAAUGACCCUCACGUCCUUUAGAGCAGCUGAUUUUGACCAUACGUGUAGUGGAUUUACCCAUGAUGCCUUGCUGUGCCUGCAGAGGCUGGAGGUGCAGAUUUCGGAGCUACCUGCGUUUUACACAGCGGGUUCGAUCCUGUUGGACACCGACCAGCUGAAGCGUUCGCUCACUCACGAGUGUCACAACUGGAAACGAGCUUUUGGCGCCGCUCUGAACCGCCGAGCGUCCACCGACAUGAACGACAUCCUGUUGUUCGUGGACACACUCACGAAACGUCUGCAGCGUCCAAUCUCAGACCUGGAUGAUGUCAGAGCAGCCAUGGCUGCGCUCAGAGAGGUGAGCCAGCAUCUGAUUGGCUGUGUGUUACGUCUGCACCUCCUCUUUUUGUUUAAAUUCUUCUUUCAGCCCAGUAAUUGAAAAAUGAUCCAGUUUUUCUUUUAGAUUCUGAUUAAUUUAUUUGUUCAUAAACAUACAGCUGCUAAUGUCUGGCACUGCCAAAAUAAAUAUAUAAAAAUGAAAUUAGCCAA
rnacentral:lncRNA from 1 species